rnacentral:lncRNA from 13 species
AUGUCUGCAGCCACCACGCCCAAACUAAAAUUCAAUGAAUAUUUAGAUCAGAGUAUGAUUGAUAGAGCGGGAGGUAAAGAACAGUAUGGGAAAGUGGAGAAAGUGUGGAAAGGAUUACGGAUAAAAUGGACACAAGCAGGUUAUUUUAGCGGAGGACCCCCUACAGGGGGGAAACUCCAAGAUAUGCAGACAGAAUUAGAGGACGCAGUAGAGCAUGCAAAAGCGAGUGAGGCGGAGAGAAACAAGAUACACAGGUUCAAAAAAGUAGGUACAAGAGAGAGAGAGAAAGCGGAGGUGGAGCUCAAGAUAGGUACAUGGGCCAUACAGGAGAGUAGGAGGGUGCUACCCAAAAACACACCAGACAUGAUGUGCGUGGCUAUUGUGGCGUCGGGGGAUGUUAAAGCUCCGCCUGAGAACUUGCCCACGGCUCCCCCUGUGGCCGUUUCUCCCUCACUAUAUCCACAAUUGACAAUGGAGGCAGUUCAGCCCCCGCCAUACUCAAAGGGACAAAAUCACCGGAGCCCGUCACACAACCCAUUCCUGCCCAGGGCACCUCCCACAAUACAGGCUCCAGUUCUGAGAAUAGACCAAGGGGAGUUAACACUGGGGAUAACGGCUGGCCAUAUGGUAUGUGAACAGUUCGAAACUGGGAUUCCAGGAGCAGGAGACCUCCCCCAGGAACGGAGGCCGCAAUGCUCCUCUGUGAACUCUCUCACCUCUGAAACCAGAGGACACCUACAAACAAGAUUAGAUUCAAACCACUUCUAUCAGACGGAUAGGGAGGACUGUCAUCAGAACAUGGAUAUCGAAAACGAAGAAGAAAUUGACAUGGUGCUCACCCCAGCUCCGAUGGGAGCUCCAAACGUGACUAAGAUGCAGGAGCUGCUGAAAUCAUCAAUAGCUCGAGCUAAGGAACUCAGGGAGCUAAUAGCUAACCAAGAUAACAACAGAGAGGGAGCCUACCGUGUGGAAGGCAUAAUGAGAGGAACAGUAACCAAAGUUACCGAAUCAAUGGGGUCCGAAACACUCCGUCGGUUCUCUAGAAUUGCUGAUAGAAGAGAGCGAGAGCAGGAGAUGGCAGGACAGUACCCCCUGCGACCGACACCAGGUGAUGCACACACUGUGGAGUACCAGCCCUGGAAAAUGACUGAUUUAACAACACUGAUGGGACAGAUGCCUAGCCUACAUGGAGGAGCUUCAGCGUGGCUACUGCAACUGCAGACACUUACGUCAGGCCUGCAACUCUGCCUAGGAGACAUGAAAGCACUUCUAGCAAGAGCCACCGACUGCGCAACCAUGGAGGCCCUCAUGACAGCAGCUGACCUUGGAUGGCGGGCCCCAACACUGCCCAUAGACCACUUCCGUACCAGAUUAUGGGAAGUUCUACGGAGAGCAUACCCUACAGAAAGAAACCAUGCCACCUUAUCCUCCUUUACAAUCAACCCAGGUGAGCAACCUGCAGCAUACCUGGACAGGGCUAAGACCACAUGGAGAUCGGUCCACGAAGAACCAUUCGAUCACACUGAUACCACACUCAGCAUGUGGAAGGAAAUGGUGGUCAACGGGUGUCCUGGAGAUGUUAAAACCAAACUCAGAGGAACGGUAGGGUUGAUUACACUUCCUCUGACCCAAUUCAAUACGCAUGUGCACCACCAUGUGACCCAGCACAACAAGGAAAGAGGGGGUGCUGAGAGCCAGGUGCAGUCCCUCCAGGUACAACUCCUGAAACUCCAAUUGAAGGAAGCACAACAAGGAGAAAAACCUAAGAAACAGAAAUGAAGGAGACAGGCACCAAAACAGACAUCUCUCAAAUAGUGGCCCAGACUAUCUCCCAGAUGAUUCAACAGCAGGCCGGUCCUCAACCAGCCAACCCGGGGCCUACUCCAGUGGGGCAACCUGGAGUUACUCAGCCUUGGUAUCCCCCGCAACCACAACUUGCAUACCAGCCGCAAUGGAUACCAGGUCAUCCAAGAGGAGGGGUUUGUUUCAACUGUAGAACUCCAGGGCACUACUCACGAGAGUGUCCAUACCCACUCACACCACAACAACGCCAGUGGAACUCUACGAGAGGUCCAUUUGGGAAGGAAAGGGGUGGAAAUAGACCUCAACAGUACGAACAUCAGCACACCCACACCCAUGCAUCAGCAACCCGCAUACAACCAACCGCAGUUCCAGGGAAUGACUGGGAACACCAUCCCCUGGCCAUAAAAAUGCCCACCACCCACGGCAGAAGAAGGAAACAGCAACUCCCAGACGGUUCACAUGUCACCCUUGAAUCAGCCAUCAUCCCUUAACCAGCAUCGGCCCAAUUAGCAGAAAUCAUCGGAUUGACGCAGGUCCUCAUCAGAGGAAAAGGAAAGACUGAAUAUCUAUACAGACUCAGCCCAUGCCCAUAAAGCAGUCCACACUGAUGGACCCAGGACUUUUAUGAGAAACACAUGGCCCCACACACGAAGGCAAACUAAGGACCCUCCAAAAGGCCUCGCAAAUCUGGUGGCACCCUCACAUAAAAAAUAUGACUGACUUAUUUUAUGACGGUGAUUUAUUUUGUGACGAAUGCAAUGUUUGUGACAGACACAACCCAAAGAAACCAUAUCGAACACCAAUGGGCUCAUACUUAAUACCUAAUGCAUGUUUUCAGGAUAUUAGUAUAGACUACACCGACAUGGGCCCCGACAAUUUAUCUAAAGGCAAACGCUAUCUCCUAGUUGUAGUAGAUAGGUUCUCCAAAUGGGUAGAGGCAAUACUAACAAAAGGGGAGGAUGCUAGGUCAGUCUUUGAGUGGCUACAAACCAAACUAAUACCCAGGUAUGGCAUCCCAAGACAAAUCAAAUUUGACAAAUGGCUCACAUUUAACAAACACCUGAGACAGGUGGAAGAAAGAUUUGGCAUAACCCACUGAUUUGGAUCUGUGUACAGGCCCCAAUCCCAAAAUCUGGUGGAACGUCAAACCAAAAGCAAAAGCUAAGAUAGCUAAAGUAUGUGCCUCAUGGGAUAAUGACUGGUAGAGUCAUGCAUGGUCCACCAAGGGAGGGAGGUCAUAUGCCCGCCCUUGAUGUACAACAAAUUGUAAUGUCUAAUUAUGUGAAAAAACUGACGGUUCUCUCUGCAGCACUCUCUACCCAGGUUCACAAGGUCCAGGAGGGGGAGCUGCCGGGGGACACGCCACUACUGAAGGUAAAGGUUGGUGACUGGGUGAGGGUUAAAGUCCACAAGAGAAAGUGGCUGGAACCCAGGUGGACUGGACCGUACGAAGUGAAGGAGGUUACUUCACACUCAGUCCAGGUCAAAGGUAAAUCAGGCGCACCUUGGCACCCACCGCCUUACACAUUGCACCCCAGCCCCAAUUCCUUCUAGAACACUGACUGAAGUCAGAGCUGAUUUGAGCGGCCUAAAUUCGAUUCCAAAUGAAGACACUCCUUCCUCAGGUGAUGCGGCAUCAAACUCCGCCUCCCCUGAGAAGGGAACCUCGCCCAGUUAGAGGGAAAUUUCUCCCUCUCUGGGUGAGGCUGGGGAUAUCUGGUCCCUUAUUUGUGAUAUUCCUACUGAUAUUUGGAGUAACCCUAGGACUUUCACAUGGUUAAUUGAACAACUAUUUCACCCUGCCACAUCACGUACACCAACCCCUACACAUGUCACUAACUCCUUUCCUGAUAUCACUCCCUCCAAUCACUCCCGUCCCAAACGUAGCACUACACCUACAGACCCACCAUGCAACCCAGACAAGGUUAGGAGCACCACCUUAUGUAUACCCACGAUUGCAACCGCCACCUUUCUGCUAUAGUUUUCACGUCUAAUAGACGUGAAGAGAGGGAUUUGUUAUAUAAGUAUUCAUACACAUAGCUCAUAUAAACAAAGACAUUCCGUCGUAAGAACACAUACACCCAGCCACUCUAUUGGUCGGAUGCUCAGGAUAAGGCUCUGCUGUGCACCAAUGGGGCUUCUGCUCUGGCUAGAGCAAGGCCCGCCUCCAACCCUCCGACCAGUCAAGAAGACCGAAACGACAAGACUCCACCUACUUUAUUCUAUGUAUAAAAAUGAAUGUAACUGUUGUAUAAGGCCUCUUUUUCACCUGACUCCUUGCCGAGUUAUGUGAACUAGGUCCGUGCACGUAAAACUGCAGAACAAGAUAUCUUUGACUCAUUAAAACUGUCUUUUGUUACAACUGAAAUCCACUCUGUCCAGCGUCCGUGAUUGGGUCUCAACUCUCCAGUAUUUAAACACUAACACUGCCUGUUGCAUUAGCAAAUGUUAGAUAGCAUGCUAACGUUAUUCUAGCAAGCUACCAGCAUAUCGAUGGUGAGUUAUUGAACGCUAGUAACGUUAUUUCCUGAACUAAGCAUAACAGACAUUUCAUCCGGUAGGACGAAUCCUUCAUUCCGAGAAAAUAAAACAUUUAUUUUCAGGAGGUGUGGGAGAGCGAUUUCUGACACGCUUGAGCAAAGUGCUGCUGAGUGGAUGACUGUUUUGUG